GCGGCUGUGGCGGAAUUGGCAGACGCGCUAGGUUGAGGGCCUAGUGUCCGUUAAGGACGUGCUGGUUCGACUCCAGUCAGCCGCA
rnacentral:tRNA from 1 species